CAAGAACUCAUGCUAUUUGGCUGGAUAUCAGCUUGUAAAGAGUAGUCUUUUACAUGACAGUACACAACCGUUGACAGUCAAGUUUAAUUACCAAACAUCUGGUUUCUACAGUAACAGAAGGACAUUCAGUAUAUAAAAAUAAGUUGCACAUUUGUUUCAAGACUAAAUCGCAUCUCAUUAAGAUGCAAGUACCCAGAGACUGGACUAAAUCAAAUGAGAGUAGAUAGGAGGGUACUAUGUUUGAAUGAAAGGUCACCCAGAAACCAUCUAAAAAGCAGUGGUAUUUUUCUGUUUGUUUAGAGUCGGGAUUUCCCUCUAUUCGGAUCAAAGAUCAAGAUAAAUGUAUCUACAGGUUAGCAGUUGAAUUGAUCUGGAGGGAAAAGAAAAAUGAAAAACAGGUGGGUGAGGAAACGAAGAGGAAGGAAAUGUGGGGACUACAAUGAAAACUGAACUUCUGCUUAUGUUCAGGUUGUGCUAACAGCCUUUUCCUACUUUUAUAUUUAACAUAGAAAGGAUUUAGGACUCCAUUUUUCUAAAUUCUCUGAAGAGAAGUAGCUGAUUUCCUGAGCACUGGAAUAAAAAUUUGGCAUGCCAAAACUUUUUUCUUCUU
rnacentral:lncRNA from 1 species